rnacentral:rRNA from 1 species
GACGAACGCUGGCGGCGUGCUUAACACAUGCGAGUCGUACGGUAAGGCCCUUUCGGGGGUACACGAGUGGCGAACGGGUGAGUAACACGUGAGUAACCUGCCCACAACUUUGGGAUAACGCUAGGAAACUGGUGCUAAUACUGGAUAUGUGCUCCUGCUGCAUGGUGGGGGUUGGAAAGCUCCGGCGGUUGUGGAUGGACUCGCGGCCUAUCAGCUUGUUGGUGGGGUAGUGGCCUACCAAGGCGGCGACGGGUAGCCGGCCUGAGAGGGUGACCGGCCACAUUGGGACUGAGAUACGGCCCAGACUCCUACGGGAGGCAGCAGUGGGGAAUAUUGCACAAUGGGCGCAAGCCUGAUGCAGCAACGCCGCGGGCGGGAUGACGGCCUUCGGGUUGUAAACCGCUUUCAGCAGGGACGAAGCUUUUUGUAACGGUACCUGCAGAAGAAGCACCGGCUAACUACGUG